rnacentral:tRNA from 1 species
CCCUGGGUGGCUCAAUCUGUUGAGCGUCUGACUUCAGCUCAGGUCAUGAUCUCAAGGUUUGUGGGUUCGAGCCCCACGUCGGGGU